CCUACGGGUGGCAGCAGUGAGGAAUAUUGGCCAAUGGACGAGAGUCUGAACCAGCCAAGUAGCGUGAAGGAUGACUGCCCUAUGGGUUGUAAACUUCUUUUAUAAAGGAAUAAAACGAGGCACGUGUGCCUUUUUGCAUGUACUUUAUGAAUAAGGAUCGGCUAACUCCGUGCCAGCAGCCGCGGUAAUACGGAGGAUCCGAGCGUUAUCCGGAUUUAUUGGGUUUAAAGGGAGCGUAGAUGGGUUGUUAAGUCAGUUGUGAAAGUUUGCGGCUCAACCGUAAAAUUGCAAUUGAUACUGGCAGUCGUGAGUACAGUUGAGGUAGGCGGAAUUCGUGGUGUAGCGGUGAAAUGCUUAGAUAUCACGAAGAACCCCGAUUGCGAAGGCAGCUUACUAAACUGUGACUGACAUUGAUGCUCGAAAGUGUGGGUAUCAAACAGGAUUAGAUACCCUUGUAGUC
rnacentral:rRNA from 1 species